CCUACGGGGGGCUGCAGUGGGGAAUAUUGGAUAAUGGGGGCAACCCUGAUCCAGCCAUGCCGCGUGUGUGAAGAAGGCCCUCGGGUUGUAAAGCACUUUCAGUGAGGAAGAACGCCUGGUGGUUAAUACCCAUCAGGAAAGACAUCACUCACAGAAGAAGCACCGGCUAACUCCGUGCCAGCAGCCGCGGUAAUACGGAGGGUGCGAGCGUUAAUCGGAAUUACUGGGCGUAAAGCGCGCGUAGGUGGCUUGAUAAGCCGGUUGUGAAAGCCCCGGGCUCAACCUGGGAACGGCAUCCGGAACUGUCAAGCUAGAGUGCAGGAGAGGAAGGUAGAAUUCCCGGUGUAGCGGUGAAAUGCGUAGAGAUCGGGAGGAAUACCAGUGGCGAAGGCGGCCUUCUGGACUGACACUGACACUGAGGUGCGAAAGCGUGGGUAGCAAACAGGAUUAGAUACCCUUGUAGUC
rnacentral:rRNA from 1 species